UGAAGGUAAGUCUUGAGUUGAUUUACGUAUUUAAUUAUGUUCUUUUUUUAUUUCUCCUUUCUUUCUACUACAACAAAUGGUACCAAAUCUUCAAUAAUUGGUAUCAGAGUCAGAUUGGUAUCGAGAUGCAUGAUUGGUAUCAGAGCUAGAUGGUACCAGAGAGUUAGGUGAUACUAGAGUGUGCGGUUGUCCAAGUUGUGGCAAUGU
rnacentral:lncRNA from 1 species